rnacentral:rRNA from 1 species
AUUGAACGCUGGCGGCAUGCCUUACACAUGCAAGUCGAACGGUAACAGGUCUUCGGAUGCUGACGAGUGGCGAACGGGUGAGUAAUACAUCGGAACGUGCCUAGUAGUGGGGGAUAACUACUCGAAAGGGUGGCUAAUACCGCAUGAGAUCUACGGAUGAAAGCAGGGGAUCGCAAGACCUUGUGCUACUAGAGCGGCCGAUGGCAGAUUAGGUAGUUGGUGGGAUAAAAGCUUACCAAGCCGACGAUCUGUAGCUGGUCUGAGAGGACGAUCAGCCACACUGGGACUGAGACACGACCCAGACUCCUACGGGAGGCAGCAGUGGGGAAUUUUGGACAAUGGGCGAAAGCCUGAUCCAGCAAUGCCGCGUGCAGGAUGAAGGCCUUCGGGUUGUAAACUGCUUUUGUACGGAACGAAAAGCCCCGGGUUAAUACCCUGGGGUCAUGACGGUACCGUAAGAAUAAGCACCGGCUAACUACGUGCCAGCAGCCGCGGUAA